UACGGAGGGGGCUAGCGUUGUUCGGAAUCACUGGGCGUAAAGCGCACGUAGGCGGACUCUUAAGUCGGUGGUGAAAUCCUGGAGCUCAACUCCAGAACUGCCCUCGAUACUGAGAGUCUUGAGUCCGGGAGAGGUGAGUGGAACUGCGAGUGUAGAGGUGAAAUUCGUAGAUAUUCGCAAGAACACCAGUGGCGAAGGCGGCUCACUGGCCCGGUACUGACGCUGAGGUGCGAAAGCGUGGGGAGCAAACAGG
rnacentral:rRNA from 1 species